rfam:Peptostreptococcaceae bacterium CCRI-22567 contig-2, whole genome shotgun sequence.
UCGUCAAAUACUGCAUCGACUGAUCACCGAUGGCUCAACGGUAAGCGACGGUACAACUGAACACAGACAGCUGCCUACGAGGUUUCCUC